rnacentral:rRNA from 1 species
GGCCUAACACAUGCAAGUCGAACGCGUGUAGCAAUACACGAGUGGCGCACGGGUGAGUAACGCGUGGAUAUCUGCCUUUUGGUUCGGAAUAACCCCGGGAAACUGGGGCUAAUACCGGAUGGUUCCUUCGGGAUAAAGAUUUAUCGCCAAAAGAUGAGUCCGCGUCCGAUUAGCUAGUUGGUGAGGUAAUGGCUCACCAAGGCGACGAUCGGUAGCUGGUCUGAGAGGACGAUCAGCCACACUGGGACUGAGACACGGCCCAGACUCCUACGGGAGGCAGCAGUGGGGAAUAUUGGACAAUGGGGGCAACCCUGAUCCAGCCAUGCCGCGUGAGUGAUGAAGGCCUUCGGGUUGUAAAGCUCUUUUGGCGGGGACGAUGAUGACGGUACCCGCAGAAUAAGCCCCGGCUAACUUCGUGCCAGCAGCCGCGGUAAGACGAAGGGGGCUAGC